UACGUAGGGUGCAAGCGUUACUCGGAAUUACUGGGCGUAAAGCGUGCGCAGGCGGUUCGGAAAGAGAGGUGUGAAAUCCCAGGGCUUAACCUUGGAACUGCACUUCUAACUACCGGGCUAGAGUACGUCAGAGGGGGGUAGAAUUCCACGUGUAGCAGUGAAAUGCGUAGAGAUGUGGAGGAAUACCGAUGGCGAAGGCAGCCCCCUGGGAUGAUACUGACGCUGAGGAGCGAAAGCCAGGGGAGCAAACGGG
rnacentral:rRNA from 1 species